AGCGAACGCUGGCGGCAGGCCUAACACAUGCAAGUCGAACGACCCCAUCGGGGUUAGUGGCGGUCGGGUGAGUAAAAUGGGGGAACGUGGCGGUAGGUACGGGAUUAUACAGGGUAACUUGGGCUAAUACCGGAUAAGUUACUCUGGGACAAGAUUCGUCGUCCUUAGGAAGGCCGGGGACCGUUUAACUAGGUGGGUGUGGUAAUGGCGCACUAAGGUUAGGUACAGUAGAUGGUCUGAGAGAAUGAUCAGCGACAUUGGGACUGGGACGCGGUCCAAACUACUACGCGAGGCAGCAGAGGGGAAUCCAGCGCAAUGGGCGAAGGCAUGACGGAGCCAGGCUGCGUGAAUGAUGAAGGUCUUAGGAUAGUAAAAUUCUUUAACCGGCGACGAUAAUGACGGUACCCGAAGAAGAAGCCCCGGCUAACUUCGUG
rnacentral:rRNA from 1 species